rnacentral:rRNA from 1 species
GGUCCGCGUGUGGUGGGAAGCAUCAACAAGGCGGCCGUUGGAGCACCGGCGACUCGAUCACCUCCUUUCUA